GUAGUGACGAAAAAUAACGAUGCAGAACUCUUUCCGAGGCUCUGCAAUCGGAAUGAGUACACUCUAAAUCAUUUAACGAGUAUCCAUUGGAGGGCAAGUCUGGUGCCAGCAGCCGCGGUAAUUCCAGCUCCAAUAGCGUAUAUUAAAGUUGUUGCGGUUAAAAAGCUCGUAGUUGGAUCUGUGUUCCACGCUGUCGGUUCACCGUAUGACGGUGUCUAACUGACAUGUCGUGGUACGUCCUGCCGGUUGGUGAUCGGCACCUCCUCGCCGGGGUGUCGAGCGGGGUCGCGCGUCUUUCGCAGGGCGCGUGCCCCAGCCAGUUCAAUCCUGUCGCGAUGCUCUUUACCGAGUGUCGGGGCGGGCCGGCACGUUUACUUUGAACAAAUUUGAGUGCUUAAAGCAGGCUGUUACGCCCGAAAACUGCGUGCAUGGAAUAAUGGAAUAGGACCGCGGUUCUAUUUUGUUGGUUUUUGAGUCCGAGGUAAUGAUUAAUAGGGACAGGCGGGGGCAUUAGUAUUGCGACGUUAGAGGUGAAAUUCUUGGAUCGUCGCAAGACUGACCUAAGCGAAAGCAUUUGCCAAGGAUGCUUCCAUUAAUCAAGAACGAAAGUUAGAGGUUCGAAGGCGAUCAGAUACCGCCCUAGUUCUAACCAUAAACGAUGCCAGCCAGCGAUCCGUCGAAGUUCCUCCGAUGACUCGACGGGCAGCUUCCGGGAAACCAAAGCUUUUAGGUUCCGGGGGAAGUAUGGUUGCAAAGCUGAAACUUAAAGGAAUUGACGGAAGGGCACCACCAGGAGUGGAGCUUGCGGCUUAAUUUGACUCAACACGGGAAACCUCACCAGGCCCAGACACUGGAAGGAUUGACAGAUUGAGAGCUCUUUCUUGAUUCAGUGGGUGGUGGUGCAUGGCCG
rnacentral:rRNA from 1 species